GGAUUAGAUACCCUGGUAGUCCACACCGUAAACGAUGAUUACUAGGUGUUGGAGGAUUGACCCCUUCAGUGCCGCAGUUAACACAAUAAGUAAUCCACCUGGGGAGUACGACCGCAAGGUUGAAACUCAAAGGAAUUGACGGGGGCCCGCACAAGCAGUGGAGUAUGUGGUUUAAUUCGACGCAACGCGAAGAACCUUACCAAGUCUUGACAUCCCUUGACGAUGCUGGAAACAGUAUUUCUCUUCGGAGCAAGGAGACAGGUGGUGCAUGGUUGUCGUCAGCUCGUGCCG
rnacentral:rRNA from 1 species